AACAGGAUCAGUGGAAGCAGAUCUGCUUCAGUCAUCGCGCUUUAAAACGCUGCAGCAGCUUUUCAGGCUAAAAUAAAACAGCACAUUUUAAAGAGAUAAAACCCUCCUCAGGCCUGUGCAAUCCGUGUGAAAACUCUCCCCUCUUCUGCAAAGAAAUAGAGACCCCCAGGAAAAAAAAGAGAAAAAAAUCUUUCGUUUCCCUCGAGCGCAGACAUGAAUUUCUGACUCAUUAGCAUUUAUGCAAAUGACUUUCUAAUUGCAGGCGUAAUGACUCUGGCGUGGGAGAUUUUUCAGUCCGCCAUGUUUUUUUUCUUCUUCUUCUUCUAUUUCUGCAUGCUUUGCCUGUGUUUAUGUGUUUAUUGUUCUUCCUCAGAAGACUUUUAUUUGCAGCCUCCUGUCAGGAAUCCUGCUGCAGCUUCGUGACGCGUUCAGGAACAGUGGGAGACUUUUUGUGUUUGCUUUUGAUCCGGCUGCGUUUCUCCUUUUUUAAAUUUUAUUUCUUUACUGAUGCUGUGAAGUCCCGUUGUUUCCUCCUUUCAGGACGUGAAGGAAGCGGAAAAUCAACUCAGAGCUGAUCUGAGGUGUGAAGCUCGGUGCAGACUCUGUGUGGGCUGUGAACGUCUCCCUCUGCUGCUGUUUAACCUGCAAUCUGAGAUCUGAACCAUGUAAACAAAACAACAAGAGGAUAAAAAACAAAGAAAGACGAGAGCGUGCCAUCGAGGGAUUUCCAUUUCACAAAUGUUAUUAAAAACUGAAUGAAAUGAAAACAAAAAAAAAAGACCUAAAGUAGGUUUGUUGUACAUGAAUCUAACGUGGUUGCUGAUUGGCUGGAAACUAAACCUCAUGACGGGUGAAAAAUAUUUGAUAUUUUAACACUACAUGUACAGCCAAGCUCAAAAUGUUUGACAUUAUAAAGCUCUUGAAUGUGCAAUUAAAUAAAUAAUGUUAUUUAUUUAUUAAGUUUUAGUAUUUAUAUUUUUACAAGGGGAUAUAUUUCCAAUUUGUAUCUCAAAAUAAACGUGUUUAAGAAAGCAAA